GAUGAACGCUGGCGGCGCGCCUAACACAUGCAAGUCGAACGGUUAAAGCAUCUUCGGAUGUGCAUAAAGUGGCGAACGGCUGAGUAACACGUGGGCAACCUGCCCCUCGCAUCGGGACAGCCUCGGGAAACCGUGGUUAAUACCGGAUACUCCGCCACCCCCGCAUGGGGGAGGCGGGAAAGCCCAGACGGCGAGGGAUGGGCCCGCGGCCUGUUAGCUUGUUGGUGGGGCAGUGGCCCACCAAGGCGAUGAUGGGUAGCCGGGUUGAGAGACCGACCGGCCAGAUUGGGACUGAGACACGGCCCAGACUCCUACGGGAGGCAGCAGUGGGGAAUCUUGCACAAUGGGCGAAAGCCUGAUGCAGCGACACCGCGUGCGGGACGAAGGCCUUCGGGUCGUAAACCGCUUUCAGCAGGGACGAGGCCGC
rnacentral:rRNA from 1 species